AAUUGUUCACAAUGGGCGCAAGCCUGAUGACGCAACGCCGCGUGGAGGAUGAAGGUCUUCGGAUUGUAAACUCCUGUUGCUCGGGACGAAAAGCCUUGACCUAACACGUCGAGGUCUGACGGUACCGAGUGAGGAAGCCCCGGCUAACUCUGUGCCAGCAGCCGCGGUAAUACGAAGGGGGCUAGCGUUGUUCGGAAUUACUGGGCGUAAAGGGCGUGUAGGCGGCCCGUUAAGACAGGUGUGAAAUUCCUGGGCUCAACCCAGGACGUGCGCCUGUGACUGGCGGGCUUGAGUCCGGGAGAGGAUGGUGGAACUCCCAGUGUAGAGGUGAAAUUCGUAGAUAUUGGGAAGAACACCCGUGGCGAAGGCGGCCAUCUGGACCGGUACUGACGCUAAGGCGCGACAGCGUGGGGAGCAAAC
rnacentral:rRNA from 1 species